UGUCUAUGAUGACAAAUUUUAAGGCUUGUUUCUCAAAACAUUCGCAGUGGCCGCCUAAGUGCUUUUGCCUUCGCCUGGCUUGAGAGUUUAUGCUGCUUUUAUCCUUCCUUGGAUGUCUGAGACA
rnacentral:snoRNA from 1 species